UACGUGGGGGCCUAGCGUUGUCCGGAUUUAUUGGGCGUAAAGAGCUCGUAGGCGGUUUGGUAAGUCACCUGUGAAAUCUCCUGGCUCAACUGGGAGCUUGCAGGCGAAACUGCCGUGCUGGAGUGUGGGAGAGGUGCGUGGAAUUCCUGGUGUAGCGGUGAAAUGCGUAGAUAUCAGGAGGAACACCUGUGGCGAAAGCGGCGCACUGGACCACAACUGACGCUGAGGCGCGAAAGCUAGGGGAGCAAACAGG
rnacentral:rRNA from 1 species